rnacentral:rRNA from 1 species
UGGGGAAUAUUGCACAAUGGGCGAAAGCCUGAUGCAGCGACGCCGCGUGAGGGAUGAAGGCCUUCGGGUUGUAAACCUCUUUCAGCAGGGAAGAAGCGCAAGUGACGGUACCUGCAGAAGAAGCGCCGGCUAACUACGUGCCAGCAGCCGCGGUAAUACGUAGGGCGCAAGCGUUGUCCGGAAUUAUUGGGCGUAAAGAGCUCGUAGGCGGUUUGUCGCGUCUGGUGUGAAAACUCGAGGCUCAACCUCGAGCUUGCAUCGGGUACGGGCAGACUAGAGUGCGGUAGGGGAGACUGGAAUUCCUGGUGUAGCGGUGGAAUGCGCAGAUAUCAGGAGGAACACCGAUGGCGAAGGCAGGUCUCUGGGCCGCAACUGACGCUGAGGAGCGAAAGCAUGGGGAGCGAACAGGAUUAGAUACCCUGGUAGUCCAUGCCGUAAACGUUGGGCACUAGGUGUGGGGCUCAUUCCACGAGUUCCGUGCCCGCAGCAAACGCAUUAAGUGCCCCCGCCUGGGGAGUACGGCCGCAAGGCUA